CAACUUCGGUGAAUUAUUUAGGGGGUCAAACGACCUUCGAUAGCAAUGCAUGUUACCUCUUUAGAAUCUCCUAUGAGUGUAGAAUGUUAGGUAAAAAUUUCAUCAAAUUUGGAGUCCUGAAAGUGGAUCAAACUCGGGAUGAAGUAACCGGCUGUCGGUCCGGAUUACUAUUCAUCCGGGUGAAAAAUGGGGGAUUUCAUGCUAUAAUAGGGUAUUAAGCCCAGAUUAAGCUAAGGGGACCUUGUACUCAUGCAAGGGAGUCCCUAAUACACAUAAAUGGUGAGUUAAUUAAUAGAAAGAGAAAAAAAGAAAGAAAAGAAAAGAUUUAGGAAACGGGGGAGUUGAAUCAAUUAAAGUCCCCUAUAUUAUAAUUGGCACGUAGAUUAUAGCCCU
rnacentral:lncRNA from 1 species